rnacentral:lncRNA from 1 species
UUUAUUCUUACAGAUUGCGUUGGUGGAUUAUGCAAUUUAGCGGUUCUGACCAUAACAACAAAUAAUAAUUUCAACAAAAUCUGUAUAUACUAAAAUGUCAAAAAAGGAGAAGAUAUGUAGAUUUCCCAGCUGAGCAUCCUAUUUGAUAGGCUGAGAUAAUGGCCGGUGGCUGAGUGUAUCAGGUUUCCUGAUUCUCCACUGAAGUGCUCAGAGAAUUGCCAGUGUCAAAAAAGUGAAUCAAGGAGUUAAACUCGGCGUCUGCCUUCUUUUGUGGGGCUCUGGAUGUCUUCUGUCUUCAGUAAACCCAAAAAGCGUGGAUUACUCCUGUACUUGAGGGAUGGAACUGAACCUGGCAUGGGUCCACACUGGAAGAAUGCCAUAUCCAUCUCUGGUAGCUGUGACAGGUCCUGUUCCUUUCCUGUGGGCUCGUCCAGAUGCAACAGACUCAUUUGGAAAUGCCGCACAAGUAGUCCUGCACCUAUGAAUGGCUUGCAUUAACAUGUUUGGUUCCUGGUAUAUGUAAAGCGAUGCCAAAGCAAGUGCACAUACCUCUAAGGCCAGAAUCAAGAUACUGGUUCUGAACUSUAAGAUGGCCUAAUUUAACAGUGGUAUUUAUUAGUGAGGGGAUGAGAGAAGUUUCUUUUUUCUCAAACACCAGCUGUUUGGGAAGCAACUCCUAGAGCCACACUGCUUCUGAAAGUGCUGGGAGCUGGCACCUCGGUGCCUGAAGCCCUUGCCACAAGGGGGAGGCCUCAGGCUUUCUCUGAAGAGAAGCUGCGGAGAUGAGUGGAGAUGAUGCUGUUGUUGCCCAUGUUUGGAACUGGUCUGCCAGAUGGAGGUGAUGGGGCCACCUCCCUUCCCGUCGAAGCUGCUGCUCUGUUCACUUCAGACCAGAAUCAGAGCUGGAGUUAGCAUGCUGUGCAGCUGAGUAGAGAUGUGAGUAUGGAUUUUAAGCCUACUGAGUAUGUACAGUAAAGCAACAUGGGUUUAGGCAACUGAGCAGCAGCUGCAGCAAGCCAGGGAGUUGAGAAUACAUGCACAGAGCUCAGCUCUGCAAGGAGGAGCUCCAGAGUAUUUGCUCAGUGCCUCCCAUCAAGCACCAGUAGUGCACUGCAACACUGGUAUCUGGAGCAAACGGUCUUUUUUUUUUUUUUUUUUUUGACUGAGGGGCUUGUGCUUCUGCAAAGCCAGGCCUUAGCUUAGGGGUGACUGAAGCAACCCUGCAUAACUCUGCAAGAGGAUGGUUGUGCCAGUUUUUCUUUGAUCCCUCUCCUUUGUGUAUGCCUACCUGUUUGCAGGCAGAUAUUCUCUCUGGAAUAUCCAAUUUCCCUUGGAAACUAAUCCAGUGUAUGUGUUAUGAAAGCAAAGGUCUCUUAGAGCACUGAAAUGACAAUGGCUAUACCUGUUCCUUAAAGUGAGUGUACCAAACAGACUUUUAGUUUCUAAAGGAUUAUUUUAUGAGAGCACAAAGUAAAAUAAGGUAUUCUUUAAACAGAGG